AAUAAGCGGAGGAAAAGAAACCAACAGGGAUUGCCUCAGUAACGGCGAGUGAAGCGGCAACAGCUCAAAUUUGAAAUCUGGCUCUUUCAGGGUCCGAGUUGUAAUUUGUAGAGGAUGUUUCGGGUGUGGCUCCGGUCUAAGUUCCUUGGAACAGGACGUCAUAGAGGGUGAGAAUCCCGUAUGUGACUGGAAGCCUUCGUCCAUGUGAAACUCCUUCGACGAGUCGAGUUGUUUGGGAAUGCAGCUCAAAAUGGGUGGUAAAUUUCAUCUAAAGCUAAAUACUGGCCAGAGACCGAUAGCGCACAAGUAGAGUGAUCGAAAGAUGAAAAGCACUUUGGAAAGAGAGUUAAAAAGUACGUGAAAUUGUUGAAAGGGAAGCGCUUGCAACCAGACUUGCUCGCGGUUGCUCAGCCGGUGUUCUCACCGGUGCACUCUUCCGCGAUCAGGCCAGCAUCGGUUUGGGCGGCUGGAUAAAGGCUCUGGGAAUGUGGCUCCUCUCGGGGAGUGUUAUAGCCCAGGGUGCAAUGCAGCCUGUCCGGAUCGAGGACCGCGCUUCGGCUAGGAUGCUGGCGUAAUGGUUGUAAGCGACCCGUCUUGAAACACGGACCAAGGAGUCUAACAUCUAUGCGAGUGUUUGGGUGUCAAACCCAUGCGCGUAAUGAAAGUGAACGGAGGUGGGAACCCUUAAGGGUGCACCAUCGACCGAUCCUGAAGUCUUCGGAUGGAUUUGAGUAAGAGCAUAGCUGUUGGGACCCGAAAGAUGGUGAACUAUGCCUGAAUAGGGUGAAGCCAGAGGAAACUCU
rnacentral:rRNA from 1 species